CGACGUAUUACGGCGUGCUGGAAAGCAAGCGAUCCCCGCACCCCCCACAGUAUAGAUCUGCCAAACAUAGAUAUAGCAGGCGACCCACAUUCGCGCGAAUUAUUAUCUCACAUAGUGAAACAAUACGCUGCGGUUUUUAAUAACACAGUGGGACGCACAACGCUUAUUGAACACACAUCACUCACUUUACUAGUGCCAGCCCGAGAACAGAGGCUGACACCACCAUCCUUAGCAUCAAACAUGGAGGAGACAUCGUUUUUAACAACAAAGUAGCGGCAACAACAAUAACAGCAGCAACAACACAGUAGCGGCAAUAACAAUAACGGCAGCAACAGCAAAGUAGCAAUAACAACACAGUACCGGUAGCAACAUCCAAAUUAGCAGCGGUGAAACAGCGACCAGCGGGAAAACCCACGGAAUUGGUAUACACGCACUCACCCCUUAGAUCACCCGCAAACAAGGUGAGUUUGCGGCAUUCACUGCGAUACGCAGUUUCUUCCCGGCCGUCAUUAAGUAGACCGGCGGCUUGGCGGGGGGGUAUUUGACACGGCCCGCGUCGCUUCGUUAUACACGAUGCCCCGCGACUCGUGCCACCUUUAUCAGCCGUCGCCCUACUAUGAGUAUUUGACUGACCAACACCGCGUGUUAUACGCUACGGUGCAAAGUCCAGCAAAUGCCGCACGGCCGACGACGACCCGCCGCAAAUGGUGCGAGAGUCUUCCUCCCGUUGUGAAAGCGACAACGUCGACAGCCGAACCGCACCCGCGCACCGUCGCCUACAACGCUGCUAACCAUUUUGCCGUUCAAGGAUUACGCCGGACAUCGCGUCGUCGACGCCAGCGAAAGUGCCGCGAUAUUAUGCGAAGAUUAUUAUUACUGUGUUAAUCUUUUCGGUUUGUUUUAUUUUUGUUAACAUAAUCUGUUGUCGCUCAUUUAAUAAACGGCCCACGGGUCUCUACCCUCAAACCAGUGUCGACCACAUUCUUGCGACGUAAGUCGUGUUAAAACUUUGUUUUGACACGGUCCCGUGUCGGUUCUUGAUACACGGAGCCCCGCGACCCUUGCAACGUUUACCAGCCAUCGCCAUAAUAUGUGUAUAUGGUAGUUUGACUAACACCACGUGCGAUACGUCAAGGUACAAAGUCCGGCAAGUACCGCACGUCCGUCGACGACUCGUCUCAAAUAUGCAUCGUUGAAGAAGUCAAAUUAGUAGAUGAGAGAAAAUAGACUUAGAUGGUUGUUUGGUCAUGUUAUGAGGACAGAAGAAUUGGACGCUAUAAGAACAGUUAAAGAAAUGAGUGUGGAAAGAAGAAGUUUAAACUGCUAUAACUUUUUCAAAAAUGACCAAAUCAAUAUAAUUUUUUUUUUUAUUUUCCGAUUCGGAUAGUGUAAGUCUCCGUCUUACUGUCAAUGUUGUUCCUAAAGUAUUAGCCAAAUUGGUCAUUGGUGACGCAACAUCUUGCCUUGGUGUAUGAUUGUUGAAUGCACUCAUAUUGAACUAAAUGUUAUGUUAGCUUAAUAGCCACCCAGAACAUUUCUAAGAAACAAUAACAAAUUCAAUUAGGGGUUGUUAAACUGUGAAAAUUUUGUGACGGGCAUUGCCCCCUAGUGACAUUUCAUUAUUUACCUUCGGAUCAACUACGAUUGGAAAAUCCUGAGGAUGACGGCAGCAAACACAUCGCGUUAUUUGAAACCGUGUUUAUGUACAAAAUAUUUAUAAUUAUUGAAAAAUAUAACAAUUUCACAUAAAAGAAAAACAGUUCAAAAAUGGCUUAAUAAUUUAUAGCUAACAAUAUUUACAAAACCAUUUUUGAAAAGUUAACGGAUACGUUGUAAGUGAGUACGUUGAGAAGAGCGUAGAAUAACGAACACCUAUUUGAAUGACUAAGUUUAUGGAAGAAUAAUGAAAGAGGGGGUAAACAUGAUAGAAGCGUUAAAGGAGGAAACCCAACACUAGCCGACAAUUCACGAAGCAAUGAUGAGGUCGGCGACGGUACCCGAAGUAAUAAUGUGAAUGCCGCAUGCUACUUGGUUAAGACCGGUUGAUGGACGGGGGGUCGGAAGGAAUGAACUGCGCGUAUGCGCAUUUGCCAGUUCGACAACCCCUGCCCCGACGUUGCUGCUUACGGUUUACUGCAUCAUUUAAUGUAUUUGCAUGGACUAGAGAAUUUUACUUAUCAAGAGCAAAACACUUUAACACACAGCUGUCCAUACACCCUUAAUAGUUUUAGUUACCAAUGUCAUGCCACGCCUUAUGGCGAACAAAAGUUGUAACACAACUCUUUAAUUAUUCUAAGUGAACUCAUCGGUCAACAACCCUUUUAGUUGGAAUUUGAAAAUAUUUUCUUUGCCAUAUCAUUUACUUAUAAAUUUUCUGAUAGUAACAGUCAAACCACAGUCUAUAUGACUAUUUUCAUAAAGUCUGAGGCCAAACUAUACGUAUUUUGAAAUCAAAGUCAUGCACAAUUCGUUUUUUAAUUUUAACUGUAUUCAUUACACAGUUUUCAGUUUAAUAAUAUUUUUGAUCUUAUAAACUAAACUUAUAUUUAGUUUUAAGUUCACAUUAGACUUGGUGGAUUUAAUAUAAAUUUUUAUAUUCACUUAUGAAAAAUAUAACAAGAAUUCUAAAAUUACAACAAAUGAAAUUUAAAAAAUGUAUAUUAGUUAUUAGACAUUUGACCAUCAUUACUUGUAAUCCGCAUUCGACCGAAUCGUACGCGACAGCUGCAGUACAGUUGUUUAAAUAUUACUGAGAAAUUUGUUGUUAAUAUCACAUAAAUUAUGCAUUAUUCUAUAAAUAUGGUUACUUAUUACGAAUUCUUUGUGGAUAAUCGUUGCGUGAUUAUUGUAUAGUUGAUUCGCGAAACAAAGACAAGCUAUGUUAGCCAAUUUUAUGUGAAGCAAAAAAUUGUUAUAACGGAGAAGUUUAUGAAAAGGUCGUUACACACUCAUAAAGCGUUAGGUUUAGAAAUUGGAACGUAGAAUUGUAGUUAAUAGAAUUCGCAAUCACGGAAAUUAGUGCCUAAUUAUUAGCGCAUUGUAGUACUUCAUUUUAAAAUGUGAUUUUAAAGAUUUAUUUGACGUUUCAUUGUAUCGUGAGUACGUGAUAAACAUAGUUUGUGUCAUUUGUUAGUAUUAAAAAAAAUAAAAAUCUACCCUGUUGGCUGCUUAUUUUCUGUUAUUCUGAAAUUCGUACACGAGUUACUUCGAUGUCGGCCAGGGGUUAAGCUUUAGUUCUAAAGGAUCCGUUUUUUCUCCGAACCACACAUGUAUCGCAAAUCGGUGUCCUGUAGGUCUGGGGGUGCGAUUAUACUGUCAAUGGGACCCGCAUAUGUAACUAAUAGCAAUAAUAGUAAUCACACGAGGGAUACGAAGGUUCAAGUUUUUGGGGUGCGUAUCUCUCACGCACUCACUGAACACUAUCCCCACAGAAAAAAUAAAAGAUUUUUGUUCUCAAAUCAAAUCGGUCAGACAGUUACCUACUUCUUGUUUUUCCCAGCCAUUUUAUACGGUCAAGGUAAUGACAUCGCGUUGGGCUCUCUCGAAUUAUUUUUUUUCUAAUCUACUUCUUAUCUAUGUAUUCCGUCAAUAGUUUAAAAUUAUGUGUUAUCAGAACGUAUAUUUGGUUAUAUCUAACAACAGUGUAGUCAUACACAAUUUAAACUGUGGUUUAACAGUCAACAGUUAUUACAAUGUACUUCUUACGAGAUAAAAAAGUAGGUUAAAUUGUUAAUGCAUUUUAAAAUUGAAACACAUGUUUUUGAUUUUUGUUAAAUUUCUAAGAAUGUGCUAGAAAAAAAUUAAAACUAGUUAAAUGAUAUCAGUUACAACAAAAAUUAUAAACAUAUUAUAUUAUAGAA